GUGGGGAAUUUUGGACAAUGGGCGAAAGCCUGAUCCAGCCAUGCCGCGUGCAGGAUGAAGGCCUUCGGGUUGUAAACUGCUUUUGUACGGAACGAAAAGACUCUGGUUAAUACCUGGGGUCCAUGACGGUACCGUAAGAAUAAGCACCGGCUAACUACGUGCCAGCAGCCGCGGUAAUACGUAGGGUGCAAGCGUUAAUCGGAAUUACUGGGCGUAAAGCGUGCGCAGGCGGUUAUAUAAGACAGAUGUGAAGUCCCCGGGCUCAACCUGGGAACUGCAUUUGUGACUGUAUAGCUAGAGUACGGCAGAGGGGGAUGGAAUUCCGCGUGUAGCAGUGAAAUGCGUAGAUAUGCGGAGGAACACCGAUGGCGAAGGCAAUCCCCUGGGCCUGUACUGACGCUCAUGCACGAAAGCGUGGGGAGCAAACAGGAUUAGAAACCCGUGUAGUCC
rnacentral:rRNA from 1 species